UACGUAGGGUGCGAGCGUUGUCCGGAAUUAUUGGGCGUAAAGAGCGUGUAGGCGGCUAGAUAGGUCCGUUGUGAAAACUAGAGGCUCAACCUCUAGACGUCGACCGAAACCAUCUGGCUAGAGUCCGGAAGAGGAGAGUGGAAUUCCUGGUGUAGCGGUGAAAUGCGCAGAUAUCAGGAGGAACACCGGUGGCGAAGGCGGGUCUCUGGGCCGAUAUCGACGCUGAGGAGCGAAAGCGUGGGGAGCGAACAGG
rnacentral:rRNA from 1 species